UACGAAGGGGGCUAGCGUUGCUCGGAAUCACUGGGCGUAAAGCGCACGUAGGCGGCUUUCUAAGUCAGGGGUGAAAUCCUGGAGCUCAACUCCAGAACUGCCUUUGAUACUGGAGAGCUCGAGUCCGGAAGAGGUGAGUGGAACUCCGAGUGUAGAGGUGAAAUUCGUAGAUAUUGGGAAGAACACCAGUGGCGAAGGCGGCUCACUGGCUCGUAUCUGACGCUCAGGCGCGAUAGCGUGGGGAUCAAACAGG
rnacentral:rRNA from 1 species